rnacentral:rRNA from 1 species
UACGUAGGGGGCUAGCGUUGUCCGGAUUUAUUGGGCGUAAAGCGCGCAUAGGCGGUUACUUAUGUCGGAUGUGAAAGCCCUCGGCUUAACUGAGGAAGUGCACCCGAAACUGAGUAGCUAGAGUACGAAAGAGGGUCGCGGAAUUCCCGGUGUAGAGGUGAAAUUCGUAGAUAUCGGGAGGAACACCGGUGGCGAAGGCGGCGACCUGGGUCGAGACUGACGCUGAGGCGCGAAAGCGUGGGGAGCAAACAGG